CAUCAUCAUCCACAAAUACUCCAACAGGCUCUGCUCCAUAAUCUCUUGCAACUUUUGAUAUCUCCUUUGCAACAGAAAGUGAAACAGAACGUUUUGAGUUUGGCCACACAAUCAUUCCAAUAAAGUUUGCUCCAGCUUCGGCCGCCAUAGCAGCAUCUUUAGCUGAUGUAAUGCCACACAUCUUAACCAAAGGCUUAAUCUUUUCAGGUUCCUUUGAUGAACAUGAAACGUUUGCCAACUCAGUAAGUUUGCAGGAAACUUCAUACUUUGGACCGAAUCUUAUGCUAGAAAAUUGAAGCUUAUUUCCUCUCAAACCUACAGAAAUUAUAUUUAAAUGUUUCAGAUAGAACCUGGUACUUCGAAAUUUGAUGCUUAUUUCCUCUCAUCCCUUCAUUAGGCUUUCAUUUAAAUAGUGGCUCAUUUACGAUUUAUGACGUAGAUCCAUGAAUAUGAUGCUUUCAAACAAUACAAGCAAAAACAAGAAACUAAACCUACAUGAGGAAUAAGUGCUACUUAGAUUUCCGGAAAAUUGAGACAUAUACUCAGUAAAUAAAGACUAGACUACCUGGAAUCGGUCUUUUGUGGAAGUUUGUGGCUCUAAGUUCCAAGUAACUCCCAGUUGUUAAACCUGUACAAAAAGAAAACAUAACUUGCAAGGUCACAAGAACAAUAAUGUACAUGGAAAAUUGAAGCACANUCUUAAUAUUGUUUCUGCAUCAUCAUCCACAAAUACUCCAACAGGCUCUGCUCCAUAAUCUCUUGCAACUUUUGAUAUCUCCUUUGCAACAGAAAGUGAAACAGAACGUUUUGAGUUUGGCCACACAAUCAUUCCAAUAAAGUUUGCUCCAGCUUCGGCCGCCAUAGCAGCAUCUUUAGCUGAUGUAAUGCCACACAUCUUAACCAAAGGCUUAAUCUUUUCAGGUUCCUUUGAUGAACAUGAAACGUUUGCCAACUCAGUAAGUUUGCAGGAAACUUCAUACUUUGGACCGAAUCUUAUGCUAGAAAAUUGAAGCUUAUUUCCUCUCAAACCUACAGAAAUUAUAUUUAAAUGUUUCAGAUAGAACCUGGUACUUCGAAAUUUGAUGCUUAUUUCCUCUCAUCCCUUCAUUAGGCUUUCAUUUAAAUAGUGGCUCAUUUACGAUUUAUGACGUAGAUCCAUGAAUAUGAUGCUUUCAAACAAUACAAGCAAAAACAAGAAACUAAACCUACAUGAGGAAUAAGUGCUACUUAGAUUUCCGGAAAAUUGAGACAUAUACUCAGUAAAUAAAGACUAGACUACCUGG
rnacentral:lncRNA from 1 species